rnacentral:rRNA from 1 species
GUGGCGAACGGGUGAGUAACACGUGGGUAAUCUGCCCUGUACUCUGGGAUAAGCCUGGGAAACUGGGUCUAAUACCGGAUAUGACCUUUCACCGCAUGGUGGGGGGUGGAAAGUUCCGGCGGUAUGGGAUGAACCCGCGGCCUAUCAGCUUGUUGGUGGGGUAAUGGCCUACCAAGGCGACGACGGGUAGCCGACCUGAGAGGGUGACUGGCCACACUGGGACUGAGACACGGCCCAGACUCCUACGGGAGGCAGCAGUAGAGAAUAUUGCACAAUGGGCGCAAGCCUGAUGCAGCGACGCCGCGUGAGGGAUGACGGCCUUCGGGUUGUAAACCACUGUUGCCCGGGACGAAACUCCUUUUUCGAGAGGAUUGACGGUACCGGGUGAGGAAGCACCGGCUAACUCUGUGCCAGCAGCCGCGGUAAUACAGAGGGUGCGAGCGUUGUCCGGAAUCACUGGGCGUAAAGGGCGCGUAGGUGG